rnacentral:rRNA from 1 species
UACAGAGGUCUCAAGCGUUGCUCGGAUUCAUUGGGCGUAAAGGGUGCGUAGGCGGCGCGGUAAGUCGGGUGUGAAAUCUCGGAGCUUAACUCCGAAACUGCAUUCGAUACUGCCGUGCUUGAGGACUGGAGAGGAGACUGGAAUUUACGGUGUAGCGGUGAAAUGCGUAGAUAUCGGUAGGAACACCAGUGGCGAAGGCGGUCUCCUGGGGCAUUCUUGACGCUGAGGCGCGAAAGCUGGGGGAGCGAACGGG